rnacentral:rRNA from 1 species
AUUGAACGCUGGCGGCAGGCCUAACACAUGCAAGUCGAACGAGUGGCGGACGGGUGAGUAAUGUCUGGGAAACUGCCUGAUGGAGGGGGAUAACUACUGGAAACGGUAGCUAAUACCGCAUACCAUCGGAUGUGCCCAGAUGGGAUUAGCUGGUAGGUGGGGUAACGGCUCACCUAGGCGACGAUCCCUAGCUGGUCUGAGAGGAUGACCGGCCACAUGGGAACUGAGACACGGUCCAGACGCCGACGGGAGGGAGCAGUGGGGAAUAUUGCACAAUGGGCGCAAGCCUGAUGCAGCCAUGCCGCGUGUGUGAAGAAGGCCUUCGGGUUGUAAAGCACUUUCAGCGGGGAGGCGUUACCCGCAGAAGAAGCACCGGCUAACUCCGUGCCAGCAGCCGCGGUAAAC